rnacentral:rRNA from 1 species
GGGCCCGCACAAGCGGUGGAGCAUGUGGUUUAAUUCGAUGAUACGCGAGGAACCUUACCAGGGCUUAAAUGUAGUGGGACAGGUCUAGAGAUAGACCCUUCUUCGGACUCAUUACAAGGUGCUGCAUGGUUGUCGUCAGCUCGUGCCGUGAGGUGUCAGGUUAAGUCCUAUAACGAGCGCAACCCCUAUCGUUAGUUGCCAGCGGGUAAUGCCGGGAACUCUAGCGAAACUGCCGGUGCAAACCGUGAGGAAGGUGGGGAUGACGUCAAAUCAUCACGGCCCUUACGUCCUGGGCCUACACACGUGCUACAAUGGUCGGUACAGAGAGCAGCCACUUCGCAAGAAGGAGCG